rnacentral:pre_miRNA from 1 species
CUGGCAUCGGUGCUAGGGAGUGGGCCCCGAGGCGGGCCUCCUCUCAGGCCCCUUCUGGGUCCAGCACUCUUGCUUCGGGCCCG